AACGCCCGGUCACAUUCCGAACCCGGAAGCUAAGCCCUCCAGCGCCGAUGGUACUGCACCCGGGAGGGUGUGGGAGAGUAGGACACCGCCGGAC
rnacentral:rRNA from 1 species